rnacentral:rRNA from 1 species
CGCCAGGGAAUUACGAGUAAACUUAAAACCCAAAGGACUUGACGGUGUCCCAUUCCCCCUAGAGGAGCCUGUUCUGUAAUCGAUAACCCCCGCUCUACCUUACCACUUUUUGCCUAUUCAGCCUGUAUACCUCCGUCGUAAGCUUGCCCUGUGAACGCCUAUUAAGCAUGCCCAAGGAUCUAAUNCAUCAAUACGUCAGGUCAAGGUGCAGCCCAUGAAGUGGAGAGCAAUGGGCUACAAUUUCUAAAUUAGAACAAACGAAAUACUGCAUGAAACACAGUUAUGAAGGUGGAUUUAGUAGU